GAUGAACGCUGGCGGCGUGCCUAAUACAUGCAAGUCGAGCGAACAGAUGAGAAGCUUGCUUCUCUGAUGUUAGCGGCGGACGGGUGAGUAACACGUGGGUAACCUACCUAUAAGACUGGGAUAACUCCGGGAAACCGGGGCUAAUACCGGAUAAUAUUUUGAACCGCAUGGUUCAAUAGUGAAAGACGGUUUCGGCUGUCACUUAUAGAUGGACCCGCGCCGUAUUAGCUAGUUGGUAAGGUAACGGCUUACCAAGGCGACGAUACGUAGCCGACCUGAGAGGGUGAUCGGCCACACUGGAACUGAGACACGGUCCAGACUCCUACGGGAGGCAGCAGUAGGGAAUCUUCCGCAAUGGGCGAAAGCCUGACGGAGCAACGCCGCGUGAGUGAUGAAGGUCUUCGGAUCGUAAAACUCUGUUGUUAGGGAAGAACAAAUUUGUUAGUAACUGAACAAGUCUUGACGGUACCUAACCAGAAAGCCACAGCUAACUACGUGCCAGCAGCCGCGGUAAUACGUAGGUGGCAAGCGUUAUCCGGAAUUAUUGGGCGUAAAGCGCGCGUAGGCGGUUUCUUAAGUCUGAUGUGAAAGCCCACGGCUCAACCGUGGAGGGUCAUUGGAAACUGGGAAACUUGAGUGCAGAAGAGGAGAGUGGAAUUCCAUGUGUAGCGGUGAAAUGCGCAGAGAUAUGGAGGAACACCAGUGGCGAAGGCGGCUCUCUGGUCUGUAACUGACGCUGAUGUGCGAAAGCGUGGGGAUCAAACAGGAUUAGAUACCCUGGUAGUCCACGCCGUAAACGAUGAGUGCUAAGUGUUAGGGGGUUUCCGCCCCUUAGUGCUGCAGCUAACGCAUUAAGCACUCCGCCUGGGGAGUACGACCGCAAGGUUGAAACUCAAAGGAAUUGGCGGGGACCCGCACAAGCGGUGGAGCAUGUGGUUUAAUUCGAAGCAACGCGAAGAACCUUACCAAAUCUUGACAUCCUUUGACCGCUCUAGAGAUAGAGUCUUCCCCUUCGGGGGACAAAGUGACAGGUGGUGCAUGGUUGUCGUCAGCUCGUGUCGUGAGAUGUUGGGUUAAGUCCCGCAACGAGCGCAACCCUUAAGCUUAGUUGCCAUCAUUAAGUUGGGCACUCUAGGUUGACUGCCGGUGACAAACCGGAGGAAGGUGGGGAUGACGUCAAAUCAUCAUGCCCCUUAUGAUUUGGGCUACACACGUGCUACAAUGGAUAAUACAAAGGGCAGCGAAUCCGCGAGGCCAAGCAAAUCCCAUAAAAUUAUUCUCAGUUCGGAUUGUAGUCUGCAACUCGACUACAUGAAGCUGGAAUCGCUAGUAAUCGUAGAUCAGCAUGCUACGGUGAAUACGUUCCCGGGUCU
rnacentral:rRNA from 1 species